AUGCUUGAAAAGACACAAAAUUCGAAGCAGCGAUCAAAAUCCUGCCAACUGCUGCAUCCAAGAACGAGCGGCAUACGAACAGGGAUGGAGGGACAACUCACUCAUAUCCUCCACCUCCUCCAGGUAAUCGUUGUAGUCUUUCAGCGACGGGAAGUGCUCCCGCGUCUUGUUGAAUCUGCGCCGGCAUCCACAGAAAAGGAAUCAGCCCUAGCAGCUUCGACAGCGGAAAUUUGUGCAGAGGAACCAGAGGAGAGGGAGGGAGGGAGCGCGCACAUACAUGCUGGACAUCCUCCGGCGGAGGGUCAUCUCCUUGGCCCACGCAUUCCCGCCGCCGCCCCCCACCACCACCAUCUCGCCAUCGCCGCCGCAGCCGCCGCCGACCGGACCGCGAGAUCGGCUGCCCUGGAGUCGCGCCGCGGUAAGUGGGCUAGGGUUCGUUACCGGAAGCAAAGCAGAAGGGGAGAGGCGGAGGCCCGUGUAUGCUAUAUUGAGAAACGCGAGGGCCGUUUGGCGAAAAGGGCAGGCGAUCGCAGAUGUGGGCCGCCCGAUCUUGAUCGGACGGCGGUGAGGAGCGCGUGCCCGUGCUUGUAG
rnacentral:rRNA from 1 species